rnacentral:lncRNA from 1 species
CGCAGGAAGAGAGACAGCCUUCUGCUUCUGGCUCUGGUAGUGGGAGAUAACUUCAGGUUCCUCCACGAUGGCCUUGGAUCCAGCAGCCAGGAAGAGCUGCUCCAAGAGUUGGUACAGCACAGAGCCAGCUUCAUCUGUAGCCCGGGAGACGACAAAAUCUUCUGUUACCCCACAGAACCCAGCAUGGUGCUGACUCAGAAUCACAUGUACAAAAAUAUACCUAUUGAACUGAAGGUUCUGACUAUUCAGCUGUACCGAGAACGUUCCAGGAGAAAAACACGGAUUCUGAUCCAAAAGGAUAGGUAUGCAAAUGAAGUUCUAAGAAAAAUAUUGGUAUUUUCUUAAGGAAAAAAUGAAUUACCCACAAUCUGAGAUGUGGUCCAUCUUUAGGAUCUGCGGCUGCAAACAUUGCUAACAGCAUCGUGCUGGCAUGGAUUACUGGGAGAAGGUAAAGGUCAGAUUAUAGGGUAGCUGAAUAGUAGAGAAAAUCAUCUUUCAGAUGACAAAUUUGUAGCUCAGAGAGAUUCG